rnacentral:rRNA from 1 species
CCCUUAGAUGUCCUGGGCCGCACGCGCGCUACACUGAGUGUCUGAGAUACGAGUCUGCCUGGUCCGGCAAGGUCUAGGUAAUCGCUAAAAGACACAUCAUGCUUGGGAUAGAUUAUUGCAAAUAUUAAUCUUGAACGAGGAAUUCCUAGUAAGCGCAAGUCAACAGCUUGCGUUGAUUACGUCCCUGCCCUUUGUACACACCGCCCGUCGCUCCUACCGAUUGAGUGCUCAGGUGAAUAAUUCGGACUGCAGCAAUGUUCGGAUCCCGAACGUUGCCGCGGAAAGUUUAGUGAACCUUAUCACUUAGAGGAAGGAGAAGUCGUAACA